rnacentral:rRNA from 1 species
GAUGAACGCUGGCGGCAUGCCUAAGACAUGCAAGUCGAACGAGACGGCCCAAUGAAUACUGAGUGCUUGCACGAUGUAGGAUUUGGAUUCCCGUCUAGUGGCGCAAGGGUGAGUAACACGUGGGUAAUCUACCUUUGAGUCUGGAAUAACAGUUAGAAAUGAUUGCUAAUGCCGGAUUAUAUAUAAGAUGAUACGUCAUCAUAUAUUAAAAGGAGCCUUUAAAGCUUCGCUUGAAGAUGAGCCUGCGGCGUAUUAGCUAGUUGGUGAGGUAAUGGCUUACCAAGGCGACGAUGCGUAGCCGACCUGAGAGGGUGAUCGGCCACACUGGGACUGAGACACGGCCCAGACUCCUACGGGAGACAGCAGUUAGGAAUAUUCGUCAAUGGAGGAAACUCUGAACGAGCAAUGCCGCGUGAAGGAUGACGGUCCUAUGGAUUGUAAACUUCUGUUGUUAGGGAAGAACGACCUAGGUAGGAAAUGACCUAGGAGUGACGGUACCUUUCAAGAAAGCUCCGGC